rnacentral:tRNA from 1 species
UUUUUGAAGUGUUUCACAUUAUCUUUUCAAGAUAAAAAGGUAAUAUUUUACC